GGAUGCGAUCAUACCAGCACUAAAGCACCGGAUCCCAUCAGAACUCCGAAGUUAAGCGUGCUUGGGCGAGAGUAGUACUAGGAUGGGUUACCUCCUGGGAAGUCCUCGUGUUGCAUUCC
rnacentral:rRNA from 1 species